rnacentral:rRNA from 1 species
UACGUAGGGUGCGAGCGUUAAUCGGAAUUACUGGGCGUAAAGCGUGCGCAGGCGGCGCCGCAAGUCAGGCGUGAAAUCCCCGAGCUCAACUCGGGAACUGCGUCCGAUACUGGCGGGCUUGAAUCCGGGAGAGGGAUGCGGAAUUCCAGGUGUAGCGGUGAAAUGCGUAGAUAUCUGGAGGAACACCGGUGGCGGAAGGCGGCGAUCCCUGGACCGGCA